rnacentral:lncRNA from 1 species
AGUCCGGCUGGCCGCUCACGCGUCGGGCCCCCAUUUACUCUCGUUACUGAGGAGACACGGCUCCAGUUUUGACCCGACUACGGUUGUUUUCUUCGUGUGUACCGCGAAAUGCUGAUGACGUCCGGUUCCGCGCAGUUUUUUUCCUAUUUCGUUUCCAACCACAGUUGUGCGGUUCACAGAUUUUUCCCUUGGGAUGUGUUUUCCAUACCUCCAAGCCCACUCUCAGAGCCUUGGGGCCCCAUAAAACUUCAUGCGCAGCUGCUUUCUGGUAUUUGCAGACCUGGAAGGCUUCUCGUAUUCUUAAUUUGGGGAAGAGAGACAUAGGUUUCCUUGUACAACGGGAUGAGGAUUUAAGAGCAGAACGACACUGAUAUUUUAAAGGCGAGGGUAUUUAGAUUUGUGGAGCUGAAACUUGCCUGAAAAGGGAGACAAAAUUUGGAAGUUUGUUGUGUGCAGUUUCUGCCCCUUACCCCCGCCCUUCACUUUUAAACUGCGCAUAUAUCAACAAUAGUUACGGUUGUUGCAGCAGUCUAAAUUUGAUUAUCAGAAUUGACCCUAGGCAUGAAUUUUUUUUUAAAUAUACCAAUGUCGUGUUAUAUACACUUAUACCAUUAUGUCCAGACUUCUCUUAAGCAUAGUUCGUGGUGGGCAGUUUUGUGGUCAUUUAGGGAUGAACUUGGGUAGGGAAAGCUGAGCAUACAUAAUUUAUUUUAGGAAUGCACCAGUUCUGCCAACAUUUAUCAGAAGUCACGUUUUUAAAAAGCUAUUCUGGAACUGAAGAUGUCAUUGGUUUAUAAGAGGAAAAUGGAAGCCAAAAGCUUACACCUCAUGCUCUAUCUUUAAAAAUUAAGGUGGCAGACACAAUGAGUAGAAGGCUUUUAUGUUACCAGAAUGAAGGCUUAAAAUCUGUCAUUUUAUUGACUCGGCUUUCUUUUUAGAAAUUUCUUUAAGAUAUAAAAGCAAUGUGGAAUAUCACUCUUUCACACUCUUAAAAUAGAUUACGUUCUCUGGAACUUCUCUAAUCUGAAAUGUGUUCAAAAAGGAAAAAGAUCUUUAAAAUACGCCAGUUAGUCUAUGGUAUAAUAUUAAACACUAUUCAUCACUAGAGAAGUUAUGGUGGUAUACCCUCCCCUUUCUCAGAUGUCCACCUUAAUGCCAGAAAUGAGCGGAGUUUCCCUUUGUUGUGCAAAAUGACUGUGUCCUUGAGGGAUGUUUGGAUGCUCUUGGUAAACCGGAAUCAGCCAGAAGCAUAUCCGGUGUUAGCCUUGUUGUGUCAUCAACAUUACAACAGUGAGGAAACCCACAUAUUCCAAUGAAAGAGGAAAACUUAAAGAAGAAGUUUCCAGUGUAUUUUCUUUGAGAUAUAUUUAUUCCUAUGACCUCAGAAGAUCAGCUUUUACCGUCCAAGGUUCACUUUGCCUAAAAGCUGAUUGUUCCUGUGGAAACAGUAGCAUCGGAUGACCCUACAAACAAAGCAUUAUGACAUCAUCAGAGCCAACAACCUGGCAUGACAGAUACUAAUAAGGAAAAAAGAGGUUACAAGAAUUCUGACACUCAUCACAGUGGAUCCAAUAUCUGGUCCCUUGGGUUUCAUAUAUGUUAGAAGUAUCUUCUCAGGAGGGAAAAGUCAAUGCCAGUCAUAUCCUUUCUAGGUAAUACUAAAUAGCACAUAAUAACCUGUCUUCUUUUUUUUUUCUUUUUCUUUGAGACGGAGUCUCAGUCUCACCCAGGCUGGAGUGCAAUGGCGCGAUCUUGGCUCACUGCAACUUCUGCCUCCCAGGUUCAAGUGAUUCGAGUAGGUGGGAUUACAGGCGCACACCGCCACGCUCUGCUAAUUUUUUGUAAUUUUUUUGUAUAUUUUGUAGAGAUGGGGGUUUCACCAUGUUGGCCAGGCUGGUCUCGAAGUCCUGACCUCGUGAUCCACCCGCCUCAGCCUCCCAAAGUGCUGGGAUUACAGGUGUGAGCCACUGCGCCCGGCCAUUCUUUUGUUAAUAUUUAAUAAAAAGAUCCUGACAUAGGAGCCAAAACAGUGACUUACAGAUGGUAUGGGGGGUAUAUAAUUAUCUCCAGUGAGCAUGUAAUGUUAAUAUCUAAAACACUAUUAUGCCAUGUUUGAAGACUAGGCUCAUAUUUCUACAGAGCGAGGCUUACUAUCAUUACUAUCAGAUAGGCAAAAGUUAAAAUGUCUGACAGGAUAAUGCCAGUGCACUCCAGUCUAGGUGACAGAGCAAGACCCUGUUGUCUCAAAAAAAAUAUCUGACAAUACCAAAAGUGAGAGAGGAAGUGGAGCUCUCAUAAACUCUAUAGGAGUGACACUAGUGCAAUCACUUUGGAAAAUAGUUCGGCAAUAAUGAAGUUAAAGUUUCCC